CCUACGGGAGACAGCAGUGAGGAAUAUUGGUCAAUGGGAGAGAUCCUGAACCAGCCAAGCCGCGUGAGGGAAGACGGCCCUAUGGGUUGUAAACCUCUUUUGUCGGAGAACAAAACCCGGGACGUGUCCCGGACUGCGUGUAUCCGAAGAAAAAGCAUCGGCAAACUCCGUGCCAGCCGCCGCGGUACUACGGAGGAUGCGAGCGUUAUCCGGAUGUAUUGGGUUAAAAGGGUGCGUAGGCGGUCCGUUAAGUCAGCGGUAAAAUUGCGGGGCUCAACCCCGUCGCGCCGUUGAAACUGGCAGACUUGAGUGGGCGAGAAGAACGCGGAAUGCGCGGUGUAGCGGUGAAAUGCAUAGAUAUCGCGCAGAACUCCGAUUGCGAAGGCAGCGGACCGGCGCCAGACUGACGCUGAGGCACGAAAGCGUGGGGAUCGAACAGGAUUAGAUACCCCUGUAGUC
rnacentral:rRNA from 1 species